rnacentral:tRNA from 1 species
AGCACCAUAGCGCAGAGGAAGCGCGCAAGGCUCAUAACCUUGAGGUCCCUGGAUCGAAACCCGGUGUGCUA